AGAGUUUGAUCCUGGCUCAGGAUGAACGCUGGCUGUGUGCCUAAUACAUGCAUGUCGAGCGAGGUUCUUUUGAACCUAGCGGCGAAUGGGUGAGUAACACGUGCUUAAUCUACCCUUUAGAUUGGAAUACCCAAUGGAAACAUUGGCUAAUGCCGGAUACGCAUGGAAUCGCAUGAUUCCGUUGUGAAAGGAGCCUUUAAAGCUCCGCUAGAGGAUGAGGGUGCGGAACAUUAGUUAGUUGGUAGGGUAAUGGCCUACCAAGACUAUGAUGUUUAGCCGGGUCGAGAGACUGAACGGCCACAUUGGGACUGAGAUACGGCCCAAACUCCUACGGGAGGCAGCAGUAGGGAAUAUUCCACAAUGAGCGAAAGCUUGAUGGAGCGACACAGCGUGCACGAUGAAGGUCUUCGGAUUGUAAAGUGCUGUUAUAGGGAAAGAACACCUGGUUGAGGAAAUGCUUCCAGGCUGACGGUACCCUGUCAGAAAGCGAUGGCUAACUAUGUGCCAGCAGCCGCGGUAAUACAUAGGUCGCAAGCGUUAUCCGGAAUUAUUGGGCGUAAAGCGUUCGUAGGCUGUUUAUUAAGUCUGGAGUCAAAUCCCAGGGCUCAACCCUGGCUCGCUUUGGAUACUGGUAAACUAGAGUUAGAUAGAGGUAAGCGGAAUUCCAUGUGAAGCGGUGAAAUGCGUAGAUAUAUGGAAGAACACCAAAGGCGAAGGCAGCUUACUGGGUCUAUACUGACGCUGAGGGACGAAAGCGUGGGGAGCAAACAGGAUUAGAUACCCUGGUAGUCCACGCCGUAAACGAUGAUCAUUAGUCGGUGGAGAGUUCACUGACGCAGCUAACGUAUUAAAUGAUCCGCCUGAGUAGUAUGCUCGCAAGAGUGAAACUUAAAGGAAUUGACGGGGACCCGCACAAGCGGUGGAGCAUGUGGUUUAAUUUGAAGAUACGCGGAGAACCUUACCCACUCUUGACAUCCUUCGCAAUGCUAUAGAGAUAUAGCGGAGGUUAACGGAGUGACAGAUGGUGCAUGGUUGUCGUCAGCUCGUGUCGUGAGAUGUUUGGUCAAGUCCUGCAACGAGCGCAACCCCUAUCUUUAGUUACUAACGAGUCAUGUCGAGGACUCUAGAGAAUACUGCCUGGGUAACUGGGAGGAAGGUGGGGAUGACGUCAAAUCAUCAUGCCUCUUACGAGUGGGGCAACACACGUGCUACAAUGGUCGGUACAAAGAGAAGCAAUAUGGCGACAUGGAGCAAAUCUCAAAAAGCCGAUCUCAGUUCGGAUUGGAGUCUGCAAUUCGACUCCAUGAAGUCGGAAUCGCUAGUAAUCGCAGAUCAGCUACGCUGCGGUGAAUACGUUCUCGGGUCUUGUACACACCGCCCGUCGCACCAUGGGAGCUGGUAAUACCCAAAGUCGGUUAGCUAACCUCGGAGGCGACCGCCUAAGGUAGGACUGGUGACUGGGGUAAAGUCGUAACAAGGUAUCCCUACGAGAACGUGGGGAUGGAUCACCU
rnacentral:rRNA from 1 species